rnacentral:rRNA from 1 species
AGUGAACGCUGGCGGCGUGCUUAACACAUGCAAGUCGAACGAGAACGGGUUAUAGCUUGCUAUAAUUGUCAGCUAAGUGGCGCACGGGUGAGUAAUGUAUAGGUAAUAUGCCUCUUACUAAGGGAUAACAAAUGGAAACGUUUGCUAAUACCUUAUACUCCUUAUUAACAGAAGUUAAUAAGGGAAAGAUUUAUUGGUAAGAGAUUAGCCUGUAUUGUAUCAGUUAGUUGGUGGGGUAAUGGCUUACCAAGACUAUGACACAUAACUGGUUUGAGAGGAUGAUCAGUCACACUGGAACUGAGACACGGUCCAGACUCCGACGGGAGGCAGCAGUGGGGAAUAUUGCACAAUGGACGAAAGUCUGAUGCAGCAACGCCGCGUGGAGGAUGACACAUUUCGGUGCGUAACCUCCUUUUAUAUGAGAAGAUAAUGACGGUAUUAUAUGAAUAAGCACCGGCUAACUCCGUGCCAGCCGCCGCGGUAA